GUGCGAGACCGAUAGCGAACAAGUACCGUGAGGGAAAGAUGAAAAGUACUUUGAAAAGAGAGUUAAAGAGUACCUGAAACUGCUGAAAGGGAAGCGAAUCGUAUCCAGUGUCUGUAAUCUGCGGCAUAUUUCAUUGGCGGCGGUGCGCGUGCUUUUGCGUCGGAAGCGGCUUUUGUUGCUCUGUGCUUUUGCUGUGCGUGGUGUUGCUGGUGCCCUGUGUUGCGGUGGGACGUCAGAGUCAGUUUGUAUGCUGCGGGAAGUGGCUGCCGAGGAGGUAGGUCGAGAUUUCGGUCUUGGCUGUUAUAUCUUGGUGGUUUGUUGUCGUGGUUGAGACUGAGGUGCCUACAAUGUGCUUUUGAGUGUACCGGGUUCUCAUUUGGUGGACUGUUUGGAUAGCUUGCUAUGCUUGUGGUUUUUUCAUCGGGUGAUUGAGUCUGGUGGUAACUUGUUGCUGUUCGGGACUUUGAA
rnacentral:rRNA from 2 species